GAAGCGGCCCGGGAAGGGCCGGGGAAGGGCCGCGGUGGCCGCCCGGGGCCGUGCGGGCCCUGCCGGCCUUGGCGGCCCGUGGCAGGCCUCGGCCGGGCCGAGCGGGGCCCCGAGGAAGGGCGCAGGACUCGGGCUGGAGCCGGCCGCGGGGUUCUCGGCGCGCCGAGGGAGGGGAAGGGUCAUUUUCUGAGUCGUGUUGGCGUUGUGCAGACGGUUCGGCAUUUCUAGAGGCAAAGUCCUUUUUUUUUUUUUUGAAGUAACGUUGUGUUGUUCUGAUAGCUCAGCACCUCCAGAGCCACUCUCCGAGAGCACCUCCAUUUUGAGGACCUGUGGAGCACCUGCACCGGGGCCGGUUUGGAUCGGCAGCGCACUUUCGGAGCGGAUCUCCCAGCGUUACGUGCCGUGCUUUGGCGUGCUGGCAUCAUGGAGCAGCCUCGCUCGCGUCCGGUGAUGUUCGGAUGACACCAAGCUGGCCCCAGGCACGGGAGCUGUGAAAUGCCGUGGGGCCCUCUGCAGCAGCUCUUCCACCGUCCUACAGGACUGGCUGUCCAUCCCACCAGCUCCAAAUGGCCACGCGAGCCCUAACUCCGGCCAGCCCUGGCUGUUUUCUUCAAGUGCACUUAGUUAUUCUGAAGUACUUCAGGGAAAUACAUGGAAGGACAUACCACAGCUACCCAGACUUCAGCCAGAGUAACAGGAAUAUGCACUCUUUGAAUGGUGUUUUAGGCCAGUUUAUCCAAAUGGACAUUCACAGGACGUAGCUUGCCCUGAAAGGCAAAAAAAACAGUCCCGAAUCUGUCAACAGCCUCGCCUGGUGGCUGUCCCUGACUCAGGAAUGGACUGCACAGAACAUGUUUUUGUACUCUGAACACUAAAUCCUCUCUUCACUGUGCCUGUCCAGUGAGAAACCUGCAGUUCCUGCUUGCUGUGAGUUCAGAGCAAGCUGAAAGAAGAGGAAGUGGAGCUUCAAAUCACUGCACGAUGCCUGCCAUGCUAGUGGCUUACGUUGUUACAGACUUGGAGAUAGCCCGUACAUUCACAGCUGCAGAGGGCUUGCGUUUCCUAGGAUCAAGUCUCUUUUGGCCAAAGGGUCCAUUCACACCCUCCCCCUUCCCUCCUGAACGCCCUCCGUGUGUUCAGACCAUGUAAAAAUGGCUCCUGGAAAGGCUUGUUAUAAACAAGCGCUAAAGGUGGUGCGGCUCUGAAAACCUUCGCCAUGCUCACUUGGUCACAGCCCGCCCAGUUGCUGGGUCUCCCCAGGAACUGUUUAUAAACACUUGCGCUGCAUGGCUGUCUCCUCAGGCUGUGUGUGGAAGCAGUUUUAAAGGAGGGCUUGCACACUUCUGCGUGUGCAGCGGGGACCAUCUGGCAAUGGUUAGUUUGUUAUUAUUCACUUUGUCGAUUUAUUCUAACCCUUACCGAUGCUUCAGCGCGAGACAGAUCCUGAGACAAGCUUGUGAGUUCCUGUCUGGGAACUUCCCCAGCCUCCUCCACAAUAAACACAGAUGCAAGAAGCUCGUUUGGGGUUUCUGCUCCAAUUUUGUCUUUUCUACAUAUUCCUUGUGUACCUUGAUAGCCGAUUGGUUCUAGACAAUGUUUCUCAGACUUUCUGCUCCUGAUGAGACUGUAAAGCUUUUGAAGUCUUUUUGCAGGUUGUGUGUUAAACUCGGGUUUUUACAUAGCUGUUUUUACAUUUCCCUCACGAUCUUUUCUAUUUUCCUCAUUAGAACAGAAAUCCAACUUUCUGAGGGAUGCCUUUUUGCUCCCAGUGACCUCUCAGGUCCUGCCUUUUAGCCAUGCUUCAUUUUUUACCCAUUUUUUCAGCCAUGUUUGAUCCUUCUGUGUGCUUUGUUGGCAAACGAUAUGCAUUUGGUCAGAGCUUCCAAUGCGAAGUCUUUCAGUGGUCCCCACGUUGCAUGAAAAUCUUUUACUCUUUUAGCUACCUCUUCGAGCUUUUUUUCCAGGAAGCCUUCUCACUUUUACCAUGCCCUCCUUUCUGAAAUGAAGAACAGUGACUUCUUCGGCUUUUGUUACUCUGAUCAGAGUGGUGACUGGAGUAUGCAAUGGUCACUGUUUCAGAGAAUGGUUACUUAGGUCCUGUAUGUAUUCUGUCCUUGUCCAGAUCCAGAGUUGCUUCUCCUUUUGUGGUUUUCCGGAGCAGAUGCUCUAGAAGAAGUCAUUAACAGUGUCUGACCAUUCACACCUAGACAUAACAGCAACGUGGUCUACAUACAGCCACGGGAAAUUUCCCAUUGCAGUUGUGUUUCCCACCCUUGCUGCCUCCCUGGUCUUUAUCACAGCUGCUAAGUUUGGUGAUGGAGUUGAUCCCGUGCUGUAAUGGUAGCAGACAUUUCCACUUAUUUAUCUGUUGAGAAGUCACCAAACUUGCUAAUAAUUUUGCUUGUAUUAGCUGAGGAAAUAGAUUUUGAGGUUUAUAAUUCCACGUGACUCUUGCCACUCUUCAAAGCUGCCUUCGUCUUCUCGCGUGCACCCUCGUAUCUUUGGAGAGAAUCGUUACUGUAAUGGCAAUCAAGUGUCACAUGCCUCAGACCUGUCCGGCAGUGUACACCAGUGGGAAUUGCAGAGAAAAAGGCAAAUAAAAGACAGUGUUGGCAACCGA